rnacentral:tRNA from 2 species
GGCGGAAUAGCUCAGUUGGCUAGAGCAAUCGGUUCAUACCCGAUAGGUCGUGGGUUCAAGUCCAACUUCCGCUACCA